GACGACGGCUGGCGGCGUGGAUUAGGCAUGCAAGUCGAACGGUAGGAUACCUUCGGGUAUCUGAGAGUGGCGAACGGGUGAGUAACACGUAGGUGAUCUACCCUCAAGAUUGGGACAACCCAGGGAAACUUGGGCUAAUACCGGAUGAAAGCAGCAGUGAUGUUGUUUGAAAGGUGGCGUAAGCUGCCGUUUGGGGAUGAGCCUGCGCUCUAUUAGUUAGUUGGCGGGGUAAAGGCCCACCAAGGCGAUGAUAGAUAGGCGGCCUUAACGGGUGGUCGCCCACACUGGGAUUGAGAUACGGCCCAGACUCCUACGGGAGGCAGCAGUCGAGAAUAGUCUACAAUGGCCGAAAGGCUGAUAGUGCGACGCCGCGUGAACGAAGAAGCCCUUCGGGGUGUAAAGUUCUUUUAUAUGUGAGCAGUGCUUUCUAUGUGAACAGCAUGGGGAGAGAGAUAUUAGCAUAUGAAUAAGCAACGGCUAACUCCGUG
rnacentral:rRNA from 1 species